AGUUUUCUUUUUUAUAUUCUAAUAAUUGUAACCCUGAGUUUGGACCAAGAAUUAUUUAAAAUAAUUGAUUUCCAAAGUUUAAACACUUCAAAACUUUUCAAAACAUUCAUAUUACUACUUUUAUUUUCUUAUCACCUCCUGCAAACAAUAACGUUCUUACCGAGACAAAGUAUUGUAUGUAUUUUACUAUGAAAAAAAAAAACUUAAAAAAAACCUGCUCUUUGAGACACGGGUGGGAGACGUUCUAUAAUACUUAAUUGAAAAUAAGUAAACUACGUAUUAGAUUUUGUAAUCAACGGAGUAAAAGACACAUAUAGAUGUCAUAGCCAUUUUUUUAUGCAAUGAAUAUUAAGAGAAUACAAUUUAUAUGACACAGAAUUUUGUGAAAUAACGAAAUGGACUAAAAACAGUAAUAGUUACAUACAUAACAAACAUGUUCAUAAUUAUCUGUUAAUCUUUCGUAAACACAUUUCUAAAGUACAAAGUUUUACGUUCAAAAUUCAUUUAUAAAACAUUAUAAUAUCAUGAUAAUUACAACUUAUAAUGACAUAAAUGCAAGUGAAGCCGAGGAAAACAGCUUAUUAAUACUAACUACAGAUAUUUAACAUUUUAUAUUAAUCCAACAACUAGAAUUUAGUAAAUAUUAACAAUUUCUAUGUCAAAUUGAAGUAUUGUAAAAGUUACACGACUUACAUGUACGUUUUUGAUUGAUAAGUUAAAAUGCCAGUUUCUUUAAUCAAAAAACAAUUCGUUUUUCUCACGAACCCUUUUCUCGCGUUUCGUUUCAAACACCAUAUAAAAAAUUGAGUGGUACGUAAUUUUUUAUAAACAUAGAAACUCUCUUUCGCUAAAGUCCAGUUUCAAUAUUCAAAAAACAAAUCGAACAUGUUUUGCGUGCGUGUGUGUGUGUGUGUGAGUGAGUGAGACAGAGUGAGCGGGCGCGCACGUGUGUGGGUGAGUGAGAUAGAGUGCGUGCGUGUGUGAGACAGAGUGCGUGCGUGCGUUGUGUGUGAGUGAGAUAGAGUGCGUGCGUGUGUGAGUGAGACAGAGUGCGUGCCUGCGUUGUGUGUGAGUGAGACAGAGUGCGCGUGUUAGCGCGCGCGCGCGCCUUUGUGUGUGUUUUUGGAUAAAGAAACCGGGCUCAAGAGCCUAAAAGAAUCAUCCAGCUAGUGAUUCAAACUUCACUUGAGAGGAUGAAGACUAGAUGUAGGAAUAUUAACAGACAGAAGAGCAAUAAAACACAAAAAAAUCAACGAAUUCUCUUCCCAAAAGUGAGGCAUUACAUUACAUUUAUUUAUUAUUGAAACAUUGAUGGAUAUGUAAUAAAUUUUUAUUAAUAUUUAUAAAUGUACAGAAUUUAUUUUAAAUAAAUAAAUAAAAUUCUUGCCGUUCUCUAGACUACACUGCUAUCUAAUUGUAGCUUCAAUAUCAUUUAGUAUACAUAUAUUUAUUUUGAGAUAUUAUGAAUAAAACGACUUAGUUUCUUAUCAAAUAUUUUCAGUUGACUCUUCUAACCGAUGGCAGCUUGACUUAGACCAAAAAAUAACGGUUCAAAAGACAUUAAUUUCAAUUCAAUAUAUAACACCUAAAGCUCAUUUAAGUAUGUAUAUAUAAGUAUGUAAUAUAUAUUUUUAAAACAAUAAUUGAAGUAAAAGUUCUUUACACACGCUUGACUUGGGGAGUUAGCUGGUGUAAGGACGUUUUACUUC
rnacentral:misc_RNA from 1 species